CCAGCCCCUGAGCCAGAUGCUAACCAUAGUAAAAGCCUAGGAUCCGCUCCCAGGCCAAGUUGCAGUUCAGCUGGGAGACAGUCGUACUCGUCACAAUCAGGAGUUAUGAAAUGUUGCUGCUCAGAGCUCUGGGGGUAAGCCUGCAGGCACACAUUUCAUUACUUUCUUGGAGAAGUAGCUGAAUCAAACAUUCCACGUCCUUCAGGAUCUGAGUUCUGUGCUGAGAGGGUCACAGGAACUCAAGAGCAGCAGAUAGAGCAAUAAUACCAGACGGCACUAUUUGAAAGGAAAAAAAAAAAAAGCAAAACCAGAGUUCCCUGGAGAAGCAACUGACCCUAGCACUGUGGCAGGAACUGUGUAAGAUGAGCCUGGAGCCAGAGAAGAAGGAAACAUCUUCAAACCCAGAAAAUCCUGUACCAACGGAGGGAAGUCAGAAAGGAGCCGACUGAAAGAGCCGCCGGAGCAUAACUGCCGGUCUUUGAGUAUGAGGUGUACAGAACUCUCUUCCAAAGACGAUGGUAAGUCUGAAAGAAGGACUUUACAGCAGAGAGGCCUCACAAGCACCACCUUGGACCAGAUGAUCAAGGUCAACAUUAGUAGUGAUGUCAUACUGGUGGCUCAAGGUCCCUUCUGCCCCCUUCGGAUGGAAGAAUAGCCGAGGCCACAGGAGCAGCCACUUCUUUCCAGGAGGGGACCAAGGAGUUUUCAUCCAAGAAGUCUCCCAGAUCCUGGGAACUACUUCCAGAGGUUCCUGAAGUACUUCCUGGGUCAAAGGACUCGGCUGCCUCCAGAAGCUCCAUGUCAUUUCCGUCUUCUUCAAAGGACUGCUGGAACACGUCAUAGAUGGUCUUCUGCUUCGGGUCCUUUAUUAGAAAACAUAAAACGUAAAAGGAAGAAGGUAAUCCUAAGGCUGACCCUCACGGCCACGCUGAGGUGAAAGGUGGUGCAUUCUGUUUAACCAGGGAACUACUGGUGCUCAUCCAACUGCGGCAGGAAGCCAGUGACCUGAAGAGAUGUCCACCUCCCCUGUGUCUUCUCUGCUGCCCUCCAGUCGGACAUAAACGAGAAGACUUAGCCACCUGCUCUACAGUAUCUCCUUCACACAGAGUGGAGGAAGCAUUGAGUGAAUGAAAAGUGGCAGAUGAAGUCCGGGUGAAUGCGUGCUGUUGACAUGGACAUGGCUACGUCAGGGACCCCCCGGAAACGGCAAUGCCUCCUCCGGACAGCAUGUGCAAGUUCGAGUACUUACAGACGAAUGACCAGUGUGUGCAGAAACUACCAGCUGCACUUCCUCCUCCAGGAUGAGUGUAAUCUGGGACUGCUCCUCACAUAAGCCCCUACCGAUACUAGCUAACCCCGGUUCUCAGGCUGUACGCAAUAAACACCGUGAGGUUCUGGCACGGCCCACCUGAUCCAGCUAUUCUGUAUGUGGUCUGUGUAUCUGUCCUUUCUCCAUUUCCUAGUUAUCCCAGUUAGGUUUCCAGGACCAAGCCAUGUAGGACGCAGCAAGGCAUGAUGGCUUCACCCUCUCCAGGGCCAAGCAGCUUCCUUUGGGCACCUCUGACAGAGUACACCAGUCACGGGAGGAUGCUCUCUGGCCUCUUACACUCUUUAGGAGCGCUGAUGCUACAGAAGGACCAGUGGGCUGAGGUGGAAAGACUUCUAUCGUGGGCUGAUUUCACAUGCCAUAUGACUAUGCUGGGACAGUUUGUGGAGGCCCUGCUGUGCGGCUGGUAUUGUUGUCGUACUUAGGAGACAACCUAACAGUUGCCAUGAGGAGUGUUGCCUAUUUUUCUUAUGGCCUGAUGAACGAACGGCAGCUCAGCCUUGGAUGUGGAGUCUUUAGGCAAGUGAGAAGCAGCAGGAGAUACCUCCAGCACUUCCUCAUAAGCCAGGCACACAGAUGAACAGAAUGACUACAAGCCCGCCCUUCCUUUCCAGCUCCAGGGAUGAAGGACACCCCAGAAGUAUGGGAACCCACAGAGAUCCCAACUUGUGGUCUGACUCAAGGUCAGAGAGUCAGAGUUAACGUUGUUCUCCAAGGCUGUAUAAUAGGGUGCAAAGGCAUGGCUACCAGUGUCUUACACUUCAAGGCCUGAUAACAAGAUGCUUAACCACGGGGUGUGGUUACCAGGUGUUUUGAAGGGUCUACACUUGGUUGUAUGCUGUGCUCUGAUCUUGAAAGGGGGAGGUCUUUUGCCUCUCCCCUUGCUAGUAUAAAAAAUCCCAUUAGAAAUAAACUCA